UCGCUAAUAGAAGAUGAAGGUCUCCCUGGCUGCUCAGACCCUCAGUAACUCUGUGGCUGUGGCACUACGCACUUUGCAGGACUCUGGACUAUGCAGAGUUCAGAGAUUCCGAGGCUACUUCAGAGUUUAUUCAAGAUGCUCUGUCUCCUGUUGCAUCGGUUCAUAAGUGCUCUGUCGUCUACGAUGUCUGUCCUUUCUGCAUCGAGUUCAGCGAUGCUCUUUUCAGUCUGCCUCAAAUUCAUAAAGUGGUGCCUCUCUGUCCUGGGGUUCGUAGUCAACAUUGACACGUUGAUGUCAAUGGUCCCUGUGCUGUUGAAGGCCAGCGAUACAUCCUGACCUACCGAUUCCCCAGGACCAUU